ACCGGCAGAUAGUCGGGGCCAGCACCCCGGC
rnacentral:sRNA from 1 species